rnacentral:rRNA from 1 species
GACGAACGCUGGCGGCGUGCUUAACACAUGCAAGUCGAACGGAAAGGCCCUGCUUUUGUGGGGUGCUCGAGUGGCGAACGGGUGAGUAACACGUGAGUAACCUGCCCUUGACUUUGGGAUAACUUCAGGAAACUGGGGCUAAUACCGGAUAGGAGCUCCUGCUGCAUGGUGGGGGUUGGAAAGUUUCGGCGGUUGGGGAUGGACUCGCGGCUUAUCAGCUUGUUGGUGGGGUAGUGGCUUACCAAGGCUUUGACGGGUAGCCGGCCUGAGAGGGUGACCGGCCACAUUGGGACUGAGGUACGGCCCAGACUCCUACGGGGGGCAGCAGUGGGGAAUAUUGCACAAUGGGCGGAAGCCUGAUGCAGCAACGCCGCGUGCGGGAUGACGGCCUUCGGGUUGUAAACCGCUUUCGCCUGUGACGAAGCGUGAGUGACGGUAAUGGGUAAAGAAGCACCGGCUAACUACGU